UGGGGAAUAUUGCGCAAUGGAGGAAACUCUGACGCAGCAACGCCGCGUGAAGGAUGAAGGUUUUCGGAUUGUAAACUUCUUUGAUCGGGGACGAAAAUGACGGUACCUCAAAAACAAGCCACGGCUAACUACGUGCCAGCAGCCGCGGUAAUACGUAGGUGGCGAGCGUUGUCCGGAAUUACUGGGUGUAAAGGGCGUGUAGGCGGGAAAGCAAGUCAGAUGUGAAAUACCGGGGCUUAACUCCGGGGCUGCAUCUGAAACUGUAUCUCUUGAGUGCUGGAGAGGAAAGCGGAAUUCCUAGUGUAGCGGUGAAAUGCGUAGAUAUUAGGAGGAACACCAGUGGCGAAGGCGGCUUUCUGGACAGUAACUGACGCUGAGGCGCGAAAGCGUGGGGAGCGAACAGG
rnacentral:rRNA from 2 species